rnacentral:rRNA from 1 species
AUGGCACCAUCCAUGAGUCUUGCAGCGAAAGGUCUGCUCCCCUUUGGAGCGCUCCCCUCAAGCGGCGUCGCGCAGAGGCCGGUGUCUGUGACCGCCUCACCAGAGCACAAGACGAGCGAUUAUAAGAGGAAGCUCCUGACCCUGUUUUUGCUUGCUUGA